AUUGAACGCUGGCGGCAGGCCUAACACAUGCAAGUCGAACGGUAACAGGAAACAGCUUGCUGUUUCGCUGACGAGUGGCGGACGGGUGAGUAAUGUCUGGGAAACUGCCUGAUGGAGGGGGAUAACUACUGGAAACGGUAGCUAAUACCGCAUAACGUCGCAAGACCAAAGAGGGGGACCCUCGGGCCUCUUGCCAUCGGAUGUGCCCAGAUGGGAUUAGCUUGUUGGUGGGGUAACGGCUCACCAAGGCGACGAUCCCUAGCUGGUCUGAGAGGAUGACCAGCCACACUGGAACUGAGACACGGUCCAGACUCCUACGGGAGGCAGCAGUGGGGAAUAUUGCACAAUGGGCGCAAGCCUGAUGCAGCCAUGCCGCGUGUAUGAAGAAGGCCUUUGGGUUGUAAAGUACUUUCAGCGGGGAGGAAGGGAGUAAAGUUAAUACCUUUGCUCAUUGACGUUACCCGCAGAAGAAGCACCGGCUAACUCCGUG
rnacentral:rRNA from 1 species